CGUCACUUGUCCACCAUGAGGACUUUAUAAUUUCUCCACUACCAUAGGUGCCUCUCUCUCAAACGUAGACCCAAGCUUGACCAUGGGUUAAAUCUUCGACCCGGCCCCUACAUCAGAUCAUUCUCUCUAGAUAGCAAAGAGUAGAUAAGAGAAUCAAAAGUGUGUCCAACAAAGGUUACUAGAAGAUUUAGGAAGCAAAACUCAUUCCAAGUUCACUGUAUUGGACAAGGGAACUGAAAUCUGUUCUAAUUUGAAAGAGAUCAGUGACUCAAAUAUAUUGGUGCCACACCAGAUCCAAGAUAAGGUUCUAAAGGAUGGCUAGAAGAAGAAUGAGAAGACUAUAUCUAGGUAAUACUAACCAUUAUGCUCGCAUUUGAAUUGGUUAUGAAUAAAUAGAAAAUCAGAUUCUACAAGUUUUGUAAGAAAAUAUUGUGGAUAUGAAUGAGUUUCGUAGUGGAGAUAGUAUUGAAGAGCCUCCUAACUCUCAAAAUCUGACAACAAUCCUACAGAAUUCUUAUAUAUGGAGAGUUGUCAAUUGGAAGGAAAAUAAGGAGGGUGGUCUUGGUAGGAGUAAAGUAAUGCUCCCCGAUGAAAUGCUGAUGGAGGUUGGGACAUUUCUUACAACUUAGGUACUCAAAACAAUGUCUACUAUGUUGAUAACUUUGAAGUUGAGGACAGGAUAUCAAAUGCUAUGAUUUAAUGUUCAAAGGUCUUUUGAAUUUUCACAAGAUAAUAAAUUUUUUUAGUACUUAGAAUGCCCUUUAGAGAAGGUAAUUCUUUCGUUCCUUUGACGUAGAGCUUUUAUAAAGAUGUGGAUGAUCUUAACACUUUCAAUACUAUCAAGUUUGCAACACAGUAGU